AUGUUUGCUGUGAGCCAGACCUCCUCAUGUCCAUCUCCUUCCAAGCACAUCUGCCCAGCUGUGCCCUGCUUUGCUGCUGCCUCCUCCUGGGGAGACAAGAACAGUGAACAGAAAAAUGUUUCCAGACAUCCCUGCUUGUUUAAUCCUUCAUAAAAAGCCAAAGGCUGAUUUCUCCUGACCAACUUGCCUGCAAAGUUCUGAAGAAGUUCUUUGAAGCACAACAAUAAGUCAUCUUUGGGGUCUUGGGUUUGUUUGUUUUUGUUGUUGUUGUUUUUAUUUUUGGUGAGCAAACAAAUUAUGUUCUAGAAAACACAUAAAAAAAGAACUGGAAUAAAUUGCCAGGCUCCCUGGCA
rnacentral:lncRNA from 1 species